AAACAGCAUGGGUCAGAGGUCAUACAGUUUUGAAGCCUCAGAAGAGGACCUAGAUGUAGAUGAUAAAGUGGAAGAAUUAAUGAGGAGGGACAGCAGUGUGAUAAAAGAGGAAAUCAAAGCCUUUCUUGCCAAUCGGAGGAUUUCCCAAGCAGUUGUUGCACAGGUAACAGGUAUCAGUCAGAGCCGGAUCUCUCAUUGGCUGUUGCAGCAGGGAUCAGACCUGAGUGAACAGAAGAAAAGAGCAUUUUACCGAUGGUAUCAACUUGAGAAGACAAACCCUGGAUGCAGCUGCCCUGAUGACUCCCAGGAGCAGCAGUAGAUUGGGAAAGCAGAAUGAAAUCUUAAGAAAACUAAGAUGACAAAAAAUUUAUGUCUAGAGUUGGAAGAAGUAGGCAAGAUCUAUUCAAGAUACUAACAGGCGCUACACUAAGUAUGAGACCAGCCCCCAUUCCAAUAGAAGACCCUGAAUGGAGACAAACGCCUCCUCCAGUCUCUGCCACAUCUGGUACUUUCCGGUUGCGACGAGGGAGUCGAUUUACCUGGAGAAAGGAGUGCCUG
rnacentral:sRNA from 1 species